rnacentral:rRNA from 1 species
AUUGAACGCUGGCGGCAUGCUUUACACAUGCAAGUCGAACGGUAACAGGUCUUCGGAUGCUGACGAGUGGCGAACGGGUGAGUAAUGUAUCGGAACGUGCCCAGUAGUGGGGGAUAACUACUCGAAAGAGUGGCUAAUACCGCAUGAGAACUGAGGUUGAAAGCGGGGGACCUUCGGGCCUCGCGCUACUGGAGCGGCCGAUAUCAGAUUAGGUAGUUGGUGGGGUAAAGGCCUACCAAGCCGACGAUCUGUAGCUGGUCUGAGAGGACGACCAGCCACACUGGGACUGAGACACGGCCCAGACUCCUACGGGAGGCAGCAGUGGGGAAUUUUGGACAAUGGACGCAAGUCUGAUCCAGCCAUGCCGCGUGAGUGAAGAAGGCCUCGGUUGU